rnacentral:rRNA from 1 species
UACGUAGGGUGCAAGCGUUGCCCGGAUUUAUUGGGCGUAAAGGGCGCGUAGGCGGCUCUGCACGUUCGUUGUGAAAUCGCCCGGCUCAACUGGGCGGGGUCAGCGGAUACGGCAGAGCUUGAGCAAGCUAGGGGGCAAUGGAAUUCCCGGUGUAGUGGUGGAAUGCGUAGAUAUCGGGAGGAACACCAGUGGCGAAGGCGGCUCACUGGACCGGUACUGACGCUGAGGCGCGAAAGCGUGGGGAGCAAACGGG